UACGUAGGGUGCAAGCGUUGUCCGGAAUUAUUGGGCGUAAAGAGCUCGUAGGCGGUUUGUCGCGUCUGCUGUGAAAACUCGGGGCUCAACUCCGAGCUUGCAGUGGGUACGGGCAGACUAGAGUGCGGUAGGGGAGACUGGAAUUCCUGGUGUAGCGGUGGAAUGCGCAGAUAUCAGGAGGAACACCGGUGGCGAAGGCGGGUCUCUGGACAGUUCCUGACGCUGAGGCACGAAGGUCAGGGGAGCAAACGGG
rnacentral:rRNA from 1 species